UCAGUGAUGUCAGCCCUUCCGCCAAUGAUCUGCGUUCCAGGGCACAAGCGAAGAAAAGGAAAACUGGCGGAUCAACUUCCACUACAGCUCCGGAGCCUAUUGAAAACCGGCGCCGACUCAGGCUAACCCGGCAAAGGAUAAAUAUGAUGACCAAGCGGAUCUGCCAAGUUCUCCCAAGGAAGGCACGGAAACGCCCAAUCCGCCGAGUCCGUUGAAAACGGCAGAGGAUCCAGAUGUUGUAAUCAUCACUGGUACUAGCUUCUCUAAGACGGCUUCGGCAAUCUUGUCGAAGUAUGUAUCAACAUCAACCCAGCCUUCUACUAGACAUGAGAUUUCCAAGGCCAAACUAUCCCAAUAUGAAAAUCUUGAAUUUAAAGAGCUCUGCUCCGGCUUUGCAAGUCGCCUGGAGGCGAGUUAUGAAAUGGAGAAGAGUCUACUCCUUAUGGUGAAGAAUAGACAUGAGAUGACGGGGCCCACGAGCCAGCUGAUCUUGCUGACAACUACUACUACCUCAACGGAGCAUACUACUACGUGGAGGACACCGACGACCAUGAGUAGUUAGGAGGCUCCCAGGCAGGAGGACUUGCCUUUUUGAUCUAUGUUUAUGUUUUGCUAGCCUUCUUAAGGCAGGCUUGUUUGUUUAUGUCUAUACUUAGAUAAUAUUGCUUUCGCUGACUCGUAUGUACUCGAGCUUAUGUAUUGUAGGCCCCUAUCUUGUAAUAUAAAGCUUGAAUUAUCUUAUUUGUGUUUGA